rnacentral:ncRNA from 2 species
CCGAACAAUUUAUUCACAGGUGCCCUUUUAGGGCUAAUAGGGGAAUCAGGUUAAACUCCUGAGCGGUCUCCGCCACUGUAAACGGACGUGCGUAAAAAUCAAAAGUCGAAUGUCAAAAGUCAAUGAGAACUGGGAACUUUAGACCUUGGACAUUAGACUUUCGACCUUAGACUUAACGACGUCCGCCAAGCCAGGAUACCUGCCUGUGGAAGCCGGUAACC